ensembl:misc_RNA 7SK 7SK RNA
AGAAGUGUAACUGAUCUGGCUGCAAAUGUCACCCACAGUCUGCCAGUGUUGAUCCAGCUAAUCUGGCUAGCUUGGUGGGUAUCUUCUUUCUCCCUCAUUGCUCCAUGAGCCUCUUGGUUGAAGAGGAUGACCUUUUCCAGUAGUAGAAGGCCAUUCUCUAGUCUAAGGUCUCUCUCCUGCCAGAACUUCCAAACUAAUUCUCAAGAGCUAGCUGGGGUAUGGCAAAGCCAGGAGCACUGGUCAUGUACAUAGCCAGACAAAGCUCGGAGGCUAGUUUCCUGAACUCCCGAAGCUAAGUAGUAACCUUGCAUUACUCU